AUUGAACGCUGGCGGCAUGCCUUACACAUGCAAGUCGAACGGUAACAGGUCUUCGGAUGCUGACGAGUGGCGUACGGGUGAGUAAUACAUCGGAACGUGCCUAGUAGUGGGGGAUAACUACUCGAAAGAGUGGCUAAUACCGCAUGAGAUCUACGGAUGAAAGCAGGGGAUCGCAAGACCUUGUGCUAUUAGAGCGGCCGAUGGCAGAUUAGGUAGUUGGUGGGAUAAAAGCUUACCAAGCCGACGAUCUGUAGCUGGUCUGAGAGGACGAUCAGCCACACUGGGACUGAGACACGGCCCAGACUCCUACGGGAGGCAGCAGUGGGGAAUUUUGGACAAUGGGCGCAAGCCUGAUUCAGCAAUGCCGCGUGCAGGAUGAAGGCCUUCGGGUUGUAAACUGCUUUUGUACGGAACGAAAAGCCCUGGGUUAAUACCCUGGGGUCAUGACGGUACCGUAAGAAUAAGCACCGGCUAACUACGUGCCAGCAGCCGCGGUAACAC
rnacentral:rRNA from 1 species